ensembl:snRNA U4 U4 spliceosomal RNA
AAGUUUGAGCAGUGGCAGUAUUGUAACCAAUGAGGUUUAUCCAAGGUGCAAUUUUUGCUAGUUGAAAAGAAGACCAUGACACCCAGGUGUACUCUAAAUGUGUACUUGAAAAUGUGUAUAGAGAAAGGUUGUACUGCUC